rnacentral:rRNA from 1 species
AGUUUGGAUUAUGGCUCAGAUUGAACGCUGGCGUGAUGCUUUACACAUGCAAGUCGAACGGCAAGCACGGACUUCGGUCUGGUGGCGAGUGGCGAACGGUGAGUACGUAUCGGAACGUGCCUAUAGCGGGGAUAACUACGCGAAAGCGCUAAUACUGCAUACGCCCUUCGGGGAAAGCGGGGACCUUCGGGCCUCGCACUAUUAGAGCGGCCGAUAUCGAUUAGCUAGUUGGUGGGGUAACGGUCACCGUUGGCGACGAUCCGUAGCUGGUUUGAGAGGGACGAACAGCCACACCGGGACCGAGACACGGCCCAGACUCCUACGGGAGGCAGCAGGGAAUUUUGGGAUAAUGGGAAACCCUGAUCCAGCCAUCCCGCGUGUGCGAUGAAGGCCUUCGGGUUGUAAAGCACUUUUGGCAGGGAGGCGGCACGGGAUAAUACCCCGUGCAACUGACGGUACCUGCAGAAUAAGCACCGGCUAACUACGUGCCAGCAGCCGCGGUAAUGCCGCGUAGGGGUGCAAGCGUUAAUCGGAAUUACUGGGCGUAAGCGUGCGCAGGCGGUUCGGAAAGAAAGAUGCGGGAAUCCCAGAGCUUAACUUUGGAACUGCAUUUUUAACUACCGAGCUAGAGUGUGUCAGGAGGGAGGUGGAAUUCCGCGUAGCAGUGGAAUGCGUAGAUAUGCGGAGGAACACCCUACGGCGAAGGCAGCCUCCUGGGAUAACACUGACGCUCAUGCAUCGAAAGCGUGGAAAAGGUGAUUGUGGAUACCGGUGUUUACUGCUUCAUGAAACAACUAGUUGGUUGGGCCUCUCGGCCUUUGUGGCGCGACAUGCAAAGGAAGUUUGACCGCCUGGGAGUACGGCUGCAAGAUUAAAACUCAAAGGAAUUGACGGGGACCCGCACAAGCGGUGGAUGAUGCGGAUUAAUUCGAUGCAACGCGAAAAACCUUACCUACCCUUGACAUGUCUGGAAUCCCGAAGAGAUUUGGGAGUGCUCGCAAGAGAACCGGAACACAGGUGCUGCAAGGUGGCUGUCGUCAGCUCGUGUCGUGAGAUGUUGGGUUAAGUCCCGCAACGAGCGCGGCAACCCCUGUCAUUAGUUGCUACGAAAGGGCACUCUAAUGAGACUGCCGGUGACAAACCGGAGGAAGGUGGGGAUGACGUCAAGUCCUCAUGGCCCUUAUGGGUAGGGCUUCACACGUCAUACAAUGGUCGGGACAGAGGGUCGCCAACCCGCGAGGGGGAGCCAAUCCCAGAAACCCGAUCGUAGUCCGGAUCGCAGUCUGCAACUCGACUGCGUGAAGUCGGAAUCGCUAGUAAUCGCGGAUCAGCAUGUCGCGGUGAAUACGUUCCCGGGUCUUGUACACAAUUCGCCCGUCACACCAUGGGAGUGGGUUUUACCAGAAGUAGUUAGCCUAACCGUAAGGAGGGCGACAACACGGUAGGAUUCAUGACUGGGGUGAAGUCGUAACAAGGUAACCCC